AUGAACGCUGGCGGCGUGCCUAAUACAUGCAAGUCGAGCGAACAGACGAGGAGCUUGCUCCUCUGACGUUAGCGGCGGACGGGUGAGUAACACGUGGAUAACCUACCUAUAAGACCGGGAUAACUUCGGGAAACCGGAGCUAAUACCGGAUAAUAUAUUGAACCGCAUGGUUCAAUAGUGAAAGACGGUUUUGCUGUCACUUAUAGAUGGAUCCGCGCCGCAUUAGCUAGUUGGUAAGGUAACGGCUUACCAAGGCAACGAUGCGUAGCCGACCUGAGAGGGUGAUCGGCCACACUGGAACUGAGACACGGUCCAGACUCCUACGGGAGGCAGCAGUAGGGAAUCUUCCGCAAUGGGCGAAAGCCUGACGGAGCAACGCCGCGUGAGUGAUGAAGGUCUUCGGAUCGUAAAACUCUGUUAUUAGGGAAGAACAAAUGUGUAAGUAACUAUGCACGUCUUGACGGUACCUAAUCAGAAAGCCACGGCUAACUACG
rnacentral:rRNA from 1 species